rnacentral:rRNA from 2 species
CGGAGGGAAACCGAGUCUUAAUUGGGCGUUAAGUUGCAGGGUAUAGACCCGAAACCCGGUGAUCUAGCCAUGGGCAGGUUGAAGGUUGGGUAACACUAACUGGAGGACCGAACCGACUAAUGUUGAAAAAUUAGCGGAUGACCUGUGGCUGGGGGUGAAAGGCCAAUCAAACCGGGAGAUAGCUGGUUCUCCCCGAAAGCUAUUUAGGUAGCGCCUCGUGAAUUCAUCUCCGGGGGUAGAGCACUGUUUCGGCUAGGGGGCCAUCCCGGCUUACCAACCCGAUGCAAACUGCGAAUACCGGAGAAUGUUAUCACGGGAGACACACGGCGGGUGCUAACGUCCGUCGUGAAGAGGGAAACAACCCAGACCGCCAGCUAAGGUCCCAAAGUCAUGGUUAAGUGGGAAACGAUGUGGGAAGGCCCAGACAGCCAGGAUGUUGGCUUAGAAGCAGCCAUCAUUUAAAGAAAGCGUAAUAGCUCACUGGUCGAGUCGGCCUGCGCGGAAGAUGUAACGGGGCUAAACCAUGCACCGAAGCUGCGGCAGCGACGCUUAUGCGUUGUUGGGUAGGGGAGCGUUCUGUAAGCCUGCGAAGGUGGCCUGUGAGGGUUGCUGGAGGUAUCAGAAGUGCGAAUGCUGACAUAAGUAACGAUAAAGCGGGUGAAAAGCCCGCUCGCCGGAAGACCAAGGGUUCCUGUCCAACGUUAAUCGGGGCAGGGUGAGUCGACCCCUAAGGCGAGGCCGAAAGGCGUAGUCGAUGGGAAACGGGUUAAUAUUCCCGUACUUGGUGUUACUGCGAAGGGGGGACGGAGAAGGCUAUGUUGGCCGGGCGACGGUUGUCCCGGUUUAAGCGUGUAGGUGUGUGUUCCAGGUAAAUCCGGUUCACUUUAACACUGAGGCGUGACGACGAGGCACUACGGUGCUGAAGCAACAAAUGCCCUGCUUCCAGGAAAAGCCUCUAAGCAUCAGGUAACAUCAAAUCGUACCCCAAACCGACACAGGUGGUCAGGUAGAGAAUACCAAGGCGCUUGAGAGAACUCGGGUGAAGGAACUAGGCAAAAUGGUGCCGUAACUUCGGGAGAAGGCACGCUGACACGUAGGUGAAGUGAUUUACUCAUGGAGCUGAAGUCAGUCGAAGAUACCAGCUGGCUGCAACUGUUUAUUAAAAACACAGCACUGUGCAAACACGAAAGUGGACGUAUACGGUGUGACGCCUGCCCGGUGCCGGAAGGUUAAUUGAUGGGGUCAGCGCAAGCGAAGCUCCUGAUCGAAGCCCCGGUAAACGGCGGCCGUAACUAUAACGGUCCUAAGGUAGCGAAAUUCCUUGUCGGGUAAGUUCCGACCUGCACGAAUGGCGUAAUGAUGGCCAGGCUGUCUCCACCCGAGACUCAGUGAAAUUGAACUCGCUGUGAAGAUGCAGUGUACCCGCGGCAAGACGGAAAGACCCCGUGAACCUUUACUAUAGCUUGACACUGAACAUUGAGCCUUGAUGUGUAGGAUAGGUGGGAGGCUUUGAAGUGUGGACGCCAGUCUGCAUGGAGCCGACCUUGAAAUACCACCCUUUAAUGUUUGAUGUUCUAACGUGGACCCGUUACCCGGGUUGCGGACAGUGUCUGGUGGGUAGUUUGACUGGGGCGGUCUCCUCCUAAAGAGUAACGGAGGAGCACGAAGGUUGGCUAAUCCUGGUCGGACAUCAGGAGGUUAGUGCAAUGGCAUAAGCCAGCUUGACUGCGAGCGUGACGGCGCGAGCAGGUGCGAAAGCAGGUCAUAGUGAUCCGGUGGUUCUGAAUGGAAGGGCCAUCGCUCAACGGAUAAAAGGUACUCCGGGGAUAACAGGCUGAUACCGCCCAAGAGUUCAUAUCGACGGCGGUGUUUGGCACCUCGAUGUCGGCUCAUCACAUCCUGGGGCUGAAGUAGGUCCCAAGGGUAUGGCUGUUCGCCAUUUAAAGUGGUACGCGAGCUGGGUUUAGAACGUCGUGAGACAGUUCGGUCCCUAUCUGCCGUGGGCGCUGGAGAACUGAGGGGGGCUGCUCCUAGUACGAGAGGACCGGAGUGGACGCAUCACUGGUGUUCGGGUUGUCAUGCCAAUGGCACUGCCCGGUAGCUAAAUGCGGAAGAGAUAAGUGCUGAAAGCAUCUAAGCACGAAACUUGCCCCGAG